GACGAACGCUGGCGGCGUGCUUAACACAUGCAAGUCGAACGAAGAGCGACGGAAGCUUGCUUCUAUCAAUCUUAGUGGCGAACGGGUGAGUAACGCGUAAUCAACCUGCCCUUCAGAGGGGGACAACAGUUGGAAACGACUGCUAAUACCGCAUACGAUCUAACCUCGGCAUCGAGGAUAGAUGAAAGGUGGCCUCUACAUGUAAGCUAUCACUGAAGGAGGGGAUUGCGUCUGAUUAGCUAGUUGGAGGGGUAACGGCCCACCAAGGCGAUGAUCAGUAGCCGGUCUGAGAGGAUGAACGGCCACAUUGGGACUGAGACACGGCCCAGACUCCUACGGGAGGCAGCAGUGGGGAAUCUUCCGCAAUGGACGAAAGUCUGACGGAGCAACGCCGCGUGAGUGAUGACGGCCUUCGGGUUGUAAAGCUCUGUUAAUCAGGACGAAAGGCCUUCUUGCGAAUAGUGAGAAGGAUUGACGGUACCGGAAUAGAAAGCCACGGCUAACUACGUG
rnacentral:rRNA from 1 species